CAGUCGCCGCGGUAAUACGUAGGGUGCGAGCGUUAAUCGGAAUUACUGGGCGUAAAGCGUGCGUAGGUGGUGGUUUAAGUCCGUUGUGAAAGCCCUGGGCUCAACCUGGGAAUUGCAGUGGAUACUGGGUCACUAGAGUGUGGUAGAGGAUAGCGGAAUUUCCGGUGUAGCAGUGAAAUGCGUAGAGAUCGGAAGGAACAUCUGUGGCGAAGGCGACUAUCUGGGCCAACACUGACACUGAGGCACGAAAGCGUGGGGAGCAAACAGGAUUAGAUACCCCAGUAGUCCCUGUCUCUUAUAC
rnacentral:rRNA from 1 species